rnacentral:rRNA from 1 species
UACGGGGGGGGCAAGCGUUGUUCGGAAUUACUGGGCGUAAAGGGCUCGUAGGCGGCCAACUAAGUCAGACGUGAAAUCCCUCGGCUUAACCGGGGAACUGCGUCUGAUACUGGAUGGCUUGAGUUCGGGAGAGGGAUGCGGAAUUCCAGGUGUAGCGGUGGAAAUGCGCAGAUAUCAGGAGGAACACCGGUGGCGAAGGCGGUGAUCUGGGCCGACACUGACGCUGUAGAGCGAAAGCGUGGGGAGCGAACAGG